GGGUAGCCGCCUUAAAAGGGUGACCGGCCACACCUGGACUGAGACCCGGCCCAGACUCCUACGGGAGGCAGCAGUGGGGAAUAUUGCACAAUGGGCGGAAGCCUGAUGCAGCAACGCCGCCUGAGGGAUGACGGCCUUCGGGUUGUAAACCUCUUUUAGCAGGGAAGAAGCGAGAGUGACGGUACCUGCAGAAAAAGCACCGGCUAACUACGUGCCAGCAGCCGCGGUAAUACGUAGGGUGCAAGCGUUAUCCGGAAUUAUUGGGCGUAAAGAGCUCGUAGGCGGUUUGUCGCGUCUGCUGUGAAAUCCCGAGGCUCAACCUCGGGCCUGCAGUGGGUACGGGCAGACUAGAGUGCGGUAGGGGAGAUUGGAAUUCCUGGUGUAGCGGUGGAAUGCGCAGAUAUCAGGAGGAACACCGAUGGCGAAGGCAGAUCUCUGGGCCGUAACUGACGCUGAGGAGCGAAAGGGUGGGGAGCAAACAGGCUUAGAUACCCUGGUAGUCCACCCCGUAAACGUUGGGAACUAGUUGUGGGGUCCUUUCCACGGAUUCCGUGACGCAGCUAACGCAUUAAGUUCCCCGCCUGGGGAGUACGGCCGCAAGGCUAAAACUCAAAGGAAUUGACGGGGACCCGCACAAGCGGCGGAGCAUGCGGAUUAAUUCGAUGCAACGCGAAGAACCUUACCAAGGCUUGACAUACACGAGAACGGGCCAGAAAUGGUCAACUCUUUGGACACUCGUGAACAGGUGGUGCAUGGUUGUCGUCAGCUCGUGUCGUGAGAUGUUGGGUUAAGUCCCGCAACGAGCGCAACCCUCGUUCUAUGUUGCCAGCACGUAAUGGUGGGAACUCAUGGGAUACUGCCGGGGUCAACUCGGAGGAAGGUGGGGAUGACGUCAAAUCAUCAUGCCCCUUAUGUCUUGGGCUUCACGCAUGCUACAAUGGCCGGUACAAAGGGCUGCAAUACCGUGAGGUGGAGCGAAUCCCAAAAAGCCGGUCCCAGUUCGGAUUGAGGUCUGCAACUCGACCUCAUGAAGUCGGAGUCGCUAGUAAUCGCAGAUCAGCAACGCUGCGGUGAAUACGUUCCCGGGUCUUGUACA
rnacentral:rRNA from 1 species